UACGUAGGUGGCAAGCGUUGUCCGGAUUUACUGGGCGUAAAGGGCUCGUAGGCGGCCAACUAAGUCGGAUGUGAAAUCCCCAGGCUUAACCUGGGAACUGCAUCCGAUACUGGAUGGCUUGAAUCCGGGGAGAGGAUGUGGAAUUCCAGGUGUAGCGGUGAAAUGCGUAGGAUAAUCUGGAGGAACAUCGGUGGCGAAGGCGGCAUCCUGGACCGGUAUUGACGCUGGAGGCGCGACAGCGUGGGGAGCAAACAGG
rnacentral:rRNA from 1 species